rnacentral:rRNA from 1 species
UAGGGAAUCUUCCGCAAUGGGCGAAAGCUUGACGGAGCAACGCCGCGUGGGUGAUGAAGGUCUUCGGUUCGUAAAACUCUGUUAUUAGGGAAGAACAAAUGUGUAAGUAACUAUGCACGUCUUGACGGUACCUAAUCAGAAAGCCACGGCUAACUACGUGCCAGCAGCCGCGGUAAUACGUAGGUGGCAAGCGUUAUCCGGAAUUAUUGGGCGUAAAGCGCGCGUAGGCGGUUUUUUAAGUCUGAUGUGAAAGCCCACGGCUCAACCGUGGAGGGUCAUUGGAAACUGGAAAACUUGAGUGCAGAAGAGGAAGGUGGAAUUCCAUGUGUAGCGGUGAAAUACGCAGAGAUAUGGAGGAACACCAGUGGCGAAGACGACUUUCUGGUCUGUAACUGACGCUGAUGUGCGAAAGCGUGGGGAUCAAACAGG